UGGGGAAUUUUGGACAAUGGGCGCAAGCCUGAUCCAGCCAUGCCGCGUGCGGGAAGAAGGCCUUCGGGUUGUAAACCGCUUUUGUCAGGGAAGAAAUCUUCUGGGUUAAUACCUCGGGAGGGUGACGGUACCUGAAGAAUAAGCACCGGCUAACUACGUGCCAGCAGCCGCGGUAAUACGUAGGGUGCAAGCGUUAAUCGGAAUUACUGGGCGUAAAGCGUGCGCAGGCGGUUAUGCAAGACAGAUGUGAAAUCCCCGGGCUCAACCUGGGAACUGCAUUUGUGACUGCAUAGCUGGAGUGCGGCAGAGGGGGAUGGAAUUCCGCGUGUAGCAGUGAAAUGCGUAGAUAUGCGGAGGAACACCGAUGGCGAAGGCAAUCCCCUGGGCCUGCACUGACGCUCAUGCACGAAAGCGUGGGGAGCAAACAGGAUUAGAUACCCUGGUAGUCCACGCCCUAAACGAUGUCAACUGGUUGUUGGGAAGGUUCCUUCUCAGUAACGUAGCUAACGCGUGAAGUUGACCGCCUGGGGAGUACGGCCGCAAGGUUG
rnacentral:rRNA from 1 species